rnacentral:rRNA from 1 species
GAUGAACGCUGGCGGCGUGCCUAAUACAUGCAAGUAGAACGCUGAAGGAAGGAGCUUGCUCUUUCCGGAUGAGUUGCGAACGGGUGAGUAACGCGUAGGUAACCUGCCUGGUAGCGGGGGAUAACUAUUGGAAACGAUAGCUAAUACCGCAUAACAGUAGAUGUUGCAUGAUAUCUACUUAAAAGGUGCAAUUGCACCACUACCAGAUGGACCUGCGUUGUAUUAGCUAGUUGGUGAGGUAACGGCUCACCAAGGCGACGAUACAUAGCCGACCUGAGAGGGUGAUCGGCCACACUGGGACUGAGACACGGCCCAGACUCCUACGGGAGGCAGCAGUAGGGAAUCUUCGGCAAUGGACGGAAGUCUGACCGAGCAACACCGCGUGAGUGAAGAAGGGUGUCGGAUCGUAAAGCUCUGUUGUAAGAGAAGAACGAGUGUGAGAGUGGAAAGUUCACACUGUGACGGUAUCUUACCAGAAAGGGACGGCUAACUACGUG